rnacentral:tRNA from 1 species
CAGGGAGUAGUUCAGUUGGCUAGAAUACACGCAUGGGGUGCGUGUGGUCGCCGGUUCAAGUCCGGUCUCCCUGA